rnacentral:rRNA from 1 species
UACGGAAGGCAGCAGUAGGGAAUCUUCCGCAAUGGACGAAAGUCUGACGGAGCAACGCCGCGUGAACGAUGAAGGCUUUCGGGUCGUAAAGUUCUGUUGUUAGGGAAGAACAAGUACCGGAGUAACUGCCGGUACCUUGACGGUACCUAACCAGAAAGCCACGGCUAACUACGUGCCAGCAGCCGCGGUAAUACGUAGGUGGCAAGCGUUGUCCGGAAUUAUUGGGCGUAAAGCGCGCGCAGGCGGUCCUUUUAAGUCUGAUGUGAAAGCCCACGGCUCAACCGUGGAGGGUCAUUGGAAACUGGGGACUUGAGUGCAGAAGAGGAGAGUGGAAUUCCACGUGUAGCGGUGAAAUGCGUAGAGAUGUGGAGGAACACCAGUGGCGAAGGCGACUCUCUGGUCUGUAACUGACGCUGAGCGCGAAAGCGUGGGGAGCGAACAGGGAUUAGAUACCCGU